GACGAACGCUGGCGGCGUGCUUAACACAUGCCAGUCGAACGGAAAGGCCUGCUUUCCCUUGUGGAUUGCGGGUACUCGAGUGGCGAACGGGUGAGUAACACGUGAGUGAUCUGCCCCCAACUUGGGUAUAAGCCUGGGAAACUGGGUCUAAUUCCCGAUAGGACUGCAGGGUGGUGUCUGUGGUGGAAAACGAUUUUCUAGUGGUUGGGGAUGAGCUCGCGGCCUAUCAGCUUGUUGGUGGGGUAAUGGCCUACCAAGGCGGCGACGGGUAGCCGGCCUGAGAGGGUGGACGGCCACAUUGGGACUGAGAUACGGCCCAGACUCCUACGGGAGGCAGCAGUGGGGAAUAUUGCACAAUGGGCGGAAGCCUGAUGCAGCGACGCCGCGGGGGGGAUGACGGCCUUCGGGUUGUAAACUCCUUUCGACCGCGAGGAAGCCACCUGGUUGGAAGGGUGGUGACGGUAGUGGUAGAAGAAGCACCGGCUAACUACGUG
rnacentral:rRNA from 1 species